GUUAAUAUAGUAAGACCCAAUACGGUAAAGCUAACUUCAUCAUCUAGAGAACAUAAGUGUGUUUUUUACUCUCCAAGCUUUCUUAGCUUUUCAGUUCUGACUCAUAUUGCUGCAUCGGGAAGGAAGCCUCAGUUGGACUUUGGGACAAGGUGAAUUUUCCCUCAUCUUCUUGGUAUUGAAGAAUUAAUCAUGACAAAGUGAAGUUUCAUGCUUGGACUAAUCAUCACUUGUCAUGCAUAUGCCAGGCUUUCCUAGGGUUCUUCCUUUUGGUCUGGCCCAUAACUAUGUCGAAGUAUCAUCACAAUUCACUAACACAUGGGUUUUUCUAUUGUGCGACCGGAAGCCAUGUUUAAAAUAUGUUAUUUUAAUAAGUAUAUUUUGUAUAGCUUCAAGUUGGUGCAUUAUACUAUUGUUUUAUGGUAGCUCCAUAUUAUAGCAGACAGACGCAGUUGUCUACUCAGAUUCAAGUUGAGAUCUAUAAUGAGUUAAAAUAUUUUUCUCAAAUCGAAUAUUUUGAGAACCAAAACCAUGUGAAGUUUGUUAUGAAACAAACAAUAUUAGAAAGUUUGGUAGACUUUUGAUUACUAAAAUAGAAGCUCACGUUUUUUUGUUCAUUUUUUUAUCCAGCUUGAAAUUAAAGGUUAUGAGAUUGCGUUGUUUUGAGGGGACAGAUUUGCACAUUAGACCCAAACUCUCUCUGC
rnacentral:lncRNA from 1 species